GACGAACGCUGGCGGCGUGCCUAAUACAUGCAAGUCGAGCGGACGAUUCGAAAGCUUGCUUUUGAAUCGUUAGCGGCGGACGGGUGAGUAACACGUGGGCAACCUGCCCUGUAGACGGGGAUAACACCGAGAAAUCGGUGCUAAUACCGGAUAACACGAAAUGUCGCAUGACGUUUCGUUGAAAGGCGGCGCAAGCUGACGCUACAGGAUGGGCCCGCGGCGCAUUAGCUAGUUGGUGAGGUAACGGCUCACCAAGGCGACGAUGCGUAGCCGACCUGAGAGGGUGAUCGGCCACACUGGGACUGAGACACGGCCCAGACUCCUACGGGAGGCAGCAGUAGGGAAUCUUCCGCAAUGGACGAAAGUCUGACGGAGCAACGCCGCGUGAGCGAAGAAGGCCUUCGGGUCGUAAAGCUCUGUUGUUAGGGAAGAACAAGUAACGUAGUAACUGACGUUACUAUGACGGUACCUAACGAGAAAGCCACGGCUAACUACGUG
rnacentral:rRNA from 1 species